ACCAAGCACCAGCCAAGCAGACCCAACUUAACUGCUUCUUUUCCUGCUAUUAAUAUUUGUGGUUAGUUGCCAUCAAACAAGCUCUGACUCAUCGUGACCUCAUGUACAACAUAAGGGAAUGCCCAGUCCUGCACCAUCUUCACAACUGUUGUUACGCUCAAGUCCAUUGUUGUGGCCACUGUGUAUUUGUUGUCCACUACACUGGACAACAUUCUAUGUCAGUUUGUCGUACUAUGGAGGCUUGCGUGUUGCUACAAUGCUGAAUAAUGCUAUGGCAUGAGUAUUUCAAACACCAACAAGGUGACCCAUAGUGGGCAAAUUUCACCAGAGCUUUUUUUUAGACUAAGGCAGACUUGGAAGAAAGACCAGGUGAUCUGCUUCAAAAAUUAACCAAUGAAAGCCCUAGGAACACAACACUAUUAAUAUACGAGACCCAAAAGGGAGCCCCUGUCUGGGCUACAACUACAAGCCAACAGCAACAGCCCUCCAGGAGAGGGCAGCCCUGUCUCCCCCUGCUUGGGGUUCUCCAGGGGCCAAUCUUGCUCUUUUGGAGACAAUUCCUGUGGCAGAUGAGGAACAGGUUGAUUAAAUAAAGGGAGAGCACCAAUGGGAACAAUCCACAGAUAACGUCACUCAUUUAUACCUUAUUUCAUUUCUACCAACUAGACUUAAUUCCAUUUAACAAUCUUAAUUCCUUUAGCACUCCAGGUUUUCCAAAUUGGCUCUAAAGGAAUUUGCAUUCAACCACCAUUUUCAAAUAAAGGUCCUUUCAGUUUCAGAAACACCAGGAGCUCCAAGAAGUGCAAGGAGAUGGCCUUGGGAAAGUUCUUCCUCUCCCCCAGCCUGUUGGCCUGGUUCUGGGUGGCAGCCCCCAGGCUCCCGGCCACCACUGCAGUUCUACUCCAGCACAAGUUGGUUGCUGGUUCCUCUUUGGAGUAACUCAGCUUCCUGCUGAGGCCCCCGGGGCUGUAUGCUUCCCUUUUCUCUCAUCUCUAGUAAAAUCCCUGCUUUUCAUCUGUGAGCUGAAAGCUCAAAGUCUCACGCUGUUAGAUCCCUGCCACUGGGGGAAAUUUACGAGUGUCACCAGCAAAGUGGUGUUCCCUCCCCUGCCUGUGUCACUCCCUGCUCAAAAGACCAUGGCCUAGAAAGGAUGGGAAAAGCUCAGCUUAAAAGAGGCCACAGGGAUGACACAACUCAGGGAGCACCCCAGCUCCUGGCUUCUUCAAGCAGGUGUCUGAGACACCAGGGGAGCCUGAGAGAGGGCUUUCAAAGAGCAGCACCAUCUCUGGGCACUGAGAACAAAGCCCAGCCCAUGAAGAGCUGGGAGGGGCUGCCUUUUACAGGCACAGGCUGAGGCCCUGAUUUGCUUUCCGUGACCCCAUGACUACACAUCCAGGGCUUGGUGGGUGUGGGUCCAACAGGGGUCUGAACCUGGAGACCAGGUCCCCACCAGACUGGUGCAGGCACCCAUGCUGGAUUAAAGCAGAGGAGGGGAGUGCCUGCCUCUGAUUUGGGGAAUCACAUCCUAACUAGGAAGGAGAAAAAAAAAAUUCACUCAGAGGAGGGUGACCAGAAUGAUGAAUGGAAUUCAAACAAUGAAAUGGAAGGAACAGCCAAAGGCACUAAUGAUGAAUCUUUGGAAGAAAGAAGACCCAAGGAGCCACGAAAUGACAGUGCUUCAGAUGUCAGAGAAGCUGUCACGGGAAGGAGGAUUAGACCUUUCUGUAUGAUUUUGCAGGACACGCAAAGCCAGACAGUAAAUAAAAGACAGAGAGAGAGAUUUUGGGGUCCUUGUCACAAUUAAGAUUUUAUGAAUCCAGGCAGACAAGCAGAGCACAGUACUGGGAAACUCUGCUGGCCAACAACGGCAGCUUCGGUAAAGAGCUGGAAGCAGGCAGCAGGGUUCCAGCUGGAAGGCUGGAUCCAAGUUCAGGUCUCCAGGCUCUUGGAAGCCUCACCAUAACCCUAGGAGAGCUUGAGUAUCAAAGUGAGGUUUCAGACUUGAUGAUAAGAUAGAGACUUGGACACUGCAGUGGUAACACAGGGCAGGGUUGAUUAUAAGCCAAUGGCCUGGUGUUUAGAUCUGAGGGACUAAGUAAGACCAAGAGCCAAGACUCAUUUUUAAGUUGAGUCAUUAAACUGCUGGCUUGGCCUUCCUCAAAAUGGGAGCAAGAUUAGUACCAAGACCUGGGGUUUGACUGCAGAGAUGAGAAAACAUGGGAGCAGGGAACAGCAGGGUCACUGCACUGUCAUUGGCAAGCAGCACUUGUUAAGACUCACCUGUGUGUCAAGUGAGCCCAUCAUCAUCUCUGCCUCCCAAAAGCCUUCAAAUCUGAAGCUCCUCUGGAACUGCCCUUGGAUCUGCAUCACUCAUUCAUUUGUUCAACAGGUAUUUAGGGAGCAUCUACUACAUACCAAGGAGCCCUGGUGGCACAGUGGUUAAAGCACUCAGCUGCUAACUGAAAGGUUGGCAGAUUAAACUCAUCACCCACCCCUCAGGAGAAAGAUGUGGCAGUCUGCUUCCAUAAAGAUUUACAGCCUUGGAAACCCUAUAGGGCAGUUCUACCCUGUCCUAUAGGGUUGCUAUGAGUUCAAAUCAACUCCAUUGCAGUGGGUUUGGUUUGGUACUAUACACCAGGCACUGUCUGAAGUGCUGGGGAAACAGCAGAGAACAAAGCGAAGGCUUUUCCUCAUGAGAAGAUACAGACAAUAGAUAGAUAGGAUCAGUAUGUUGGAUGGUGGAAAUCCUGGUGGCGUAGUGGUUAAGUGCUAUGGCUGCUAACCAAAAGGUUGGCAGUUCGAACCCGCCAGGUGCUCCUUGGAAACUCUAGGGAGCAGUUCUACUCUAUCCUAUAGGGUCCCUAUGAGUCGGAAUCGACUUGAUGGCGGUAGGUUUGGUUUUUUGGGGUUUGGAAUGUUAGGUGGUGAUAAGAACUACAGAAAAAAUAAAGCAGGGAAAAGGCAUAGGGAGCACUAGGGAAGGCAAGGUAGCGUAGGACGCUCAGGGAAAGACCUGCAGGAAGUGAAGGAGGGAACCAUGCAGAUAUCUACAAGAGUGCUCCAGGCAGAAAAAAUAGCACGCACAAAACCCCUGAGGCAGGAGCUUCCUCGCUGUGUUUGAGGAAAUGCAAGGAAGCCAGUGGAACCGGUGUGGAGCCAGCAAUAAGCAGAGCGGUAAGAGAUAAGGACAAAAAAAGUAGCAGAACAGUAGGGGCAGAGCAUGUAAGGCCCUGUGGACCACUGUAAGGACUUUGUCUUUUACUCUAACAUGAGAAGCCAUUGGUGGGUUUGAGCAGAGCACUGAUAUAACCCAACUUACAUUUUAAAAGAAUCACUCUGGCUGCCAUUUUGAGAGUCAAGAGUGGCAGAGCUAGUAAGAAGCAAGGAAACUAAUAAGAAAGGUUUGCAAUAAUUCAUGUGACAGAUAAUGCUGGCUUGGAACAGGAAAGUAACAGCUGAGGUAUUAAGAAGUAGCUAGAUUCUGGGUAAUCUUGGAAAGUAAAGCCAACAGGCUCUGCUGGUGGAGAGAGAACGUGGGGUGUCAGAGAAAGAUAGGUGAAGGAGGGCUCCAAGGUUUGGGGUCUAAGUCCAUAGCUAGAACGACAUUACAAUCAUGUAUGAGAUGAAGAAAAGGAGAAACAGGCUUGGAGGAGAAAAUCAAGAACUCGAUUUUGGACAUGUCAAGUUUGAGUUGUCUAUUAGACAUUCGAGUGGAGAUGACCAGUAGGCAGCUGCAUACAUGAGUCUGGAGUUGUGGAGGGAGGUCAGAGCUGGAGAUGAGAUCAGAGAGUCAGAAGCAUACAGAUGCUUUUAGUCAGGAGACUGAAUGAGAUCACCAAGGGAGCGAGUGUGGCUAGACAGAGAAGAGGUCCCAGGAUGUAGCCUUGGGGCACAUCCAUAUUCAGAGAGCAGGAAGAGGAGGAGGAAGCAGCAAGGGCGAAUGAGAAGGUAUACCUAGUGAACCAAGAUAGGGUAUUGCUCACAAGCCAAGAGAAAGAAAUGUUUUAAGAAAGAGGGAGUGCACUAUGUCAAAUGCUACUGAUAAGUCCAGUAAGACGAGGCCUGAAGACAGAGCAUCAGAUUUAGCAAUGCGGAAGGCAACGGUGGGGAAGAAAGUCUGAUUGGAGGGAGCCCUAUUAAUAGGGAAGGAGGGGCAAUGGAAACAGCUUGAAUCAGGCAUUAUUUUGCAGUUUCACUUCUGCAGGGAGAAAUAAGGGUUUAGCUGAAGAGGGACGCUGGGCGAAGAGAGGUUUUUAAGAUGGGAGAUAGUUCCGAUCCAUUAGCCGGUACCUGGGACCAUUACCCCAACGUGAAGAGCCCACGACACUGUGAGACAGAGGAGAUAGAGUUCAUCCCCUCAGGAUACUCUUAGGCUUGUGGGGCAGAUGGAAUUCAAAUAAGGUUGAGACAAACACGUGGAGGCAAGGGGAACAUCUGCUAAUGUCUGAAAAAUUCCCAGACAGCAAAGGAGGAAACCAUGAGAAAAGAUAACCUUCACACGCUGUUGAAGGUCCUCUGUUGCUGGGCCAUCAGAUAGCCGCACUAUGUCUGCUGGACUAACUUUCUCCUCGUCCACGAGCCUGUGGUUAACCAAGCCUUGUCCAGUCCUGGCAAGGGAGGAGGCGCUUGAUUUCCCAGGCCCUCCUGGACCCUCCAGGGAUAAAUGUGUUGAUGGCACAGAUAUCAACACUCUGCCAACACUAGUGUGUGCAUCCCGACAGAAACAAGGAUAAGCAAGAGCAGCUGGAACCCAUGUCAUUGAAGCGGCCCUGCCCACCCACUCCAGAGCCAGGAGAGAACACACAGAUGCAAAGUCAAGGGUCCUCCCAGGCAGCAGAGCCAGGGUCACCACGCGGACUCUCUGGCUUCAACCAAACAGCCCUGGAGAUGGCACACUCUCCAGGAAGCCUUCUUGGGUUGAUCAAAGGGGGGGAGACGUGGCCUUUUAUCUCCGACCCUGGAUUAGGAAUCCCCACAGCCGCGCCCGCCCUCCUUCUUCACCUAACAGCUGCCCGUAAUGUGCUAGGCUGAGUCAGUUCCAACCGUCACAGGGAGUCUGUAGCAUCUUUAUUCUUUCACAAGGCGAGCGUGGCAAGUUGACCAGAUGAGAGCUGUCAGCUCUGUUGGCUGCCCCCGCCCCUCCCAAACUCGGGGAGGACAUAGUGCAGGGUCUAGGCAGCUUCCUGCAGGAUCAGUGCAGCAGUCAGAUGUCGCCUGGGCUCCAGGGGCAUCUGGGGUAAUGGGUGGGGGCAUCACCCAGAGCAGGGUUACCCCCGGAGUAGUGUCCAAGGAACUUACCGAUCCUCAGGGAGUGCGGGCUGCAGGCGACCAUCACGAGCCACACAGGAAGCAGCACCAAAGGCGCCGAGACGCGGGGCAUCUUCUAUAAAUCCUCAUGGAGCCCUCUGCUGGUCUGGGCAUGACAUAACUCUGCAAGAGAGCGGGGAGCACGUGAAUCCUGCGACCCAGCCAUGUGGCCACUCCAUCCAUCCCAGUGACCCAACUACAGCUCAGCCCACCCAGAGAUCCUCUGUGGGGAGAGGCAACAGCUCCUCCUGAAGAACUUGAGUGAUGGCCUGGGGAGCUCCAGGGCUGGCUCCAGCCAGUGCCAAGGAGUUGGCGAGUCCUCUCUCCUUCCUCCCUACACCCAGGCAUAGGUUCUAAUUUCCUCCCUCUGAUAAAAAUGGGGGCAGGCUCAAUGGAAUAUUACUCAGCCAUAAAGAGAAAUGAAGUCCUGAUACAUGCCACAACAUGGAUGAACCUUGAAAACAUUAUGCUGAGUGAAAGAAGUCAGUCACAAAAGGACAAACAUUGUAUGAUCCCACUUAUAUGAAAUAUCUAGAAACGGCAAAUGCAUAGAGACCGAAGCAGAUUAGCGGUUACCAGGGGCAGAGCGGGGUGGGGAGGUGGAGAGGGGAGUUACUGUUUAGGGGGACACCGAGUUUAUGUCAACGGUGGUGAAAUGGGUUGGAAAAGCAGAGUGACCACAGUUGCACAACAUCAAUGUCACUGAAUUAUACAUGUAAAAACUGUUGAACUGGCAAUGUUUUGUUAUGUGUAUUUUUACCACAAUUUUUAAAAAGUAGAGACAGGAAAAAAAUGGGGCAGGCUGGUGUUACUAUAGUUGAAUGGUUUGCAGGGCUCCACUUUUUUUUAAAUCUCUAGUGAAAACAUAAAAAAAAAGGUCCAAAAGAUGUGAGACAUAGUCUUGCUAUCCUUGCUUCUAAAGAGCAUUCUGGUGAUAAUUCUUACAAGACAGAUUUGUUCAUUCUUUUGGCAGUCCACGGUAUGGUAUAUUCAAUAUUCUUCACCAACGUCCCAAUUCAAAGGCGUCAAUUCUUCGGUCUUCCUUAUUCAUCGUCCAGCUUUCACACCCGUAUGAGGCAACUGAAAACACCAUGGCUUAACCUAAUGACCCAGAAAUUCCACUCCUAGGUAUAUAUCCAACAGAAAUCCAUGCACAUGCUCACCAAAGACAUGUACUAGAAGGUUCAUAGCAGCAUUCUGGAUUUUCCAAAACUGAAAGCAACCCAAAUGUCCAGCAACAGGUGAGAGAAAUAUGUAGUUGUAUAUUCACACAACAGUUCCUGGGUGGUGUAAAUGGUUAACAUGCCUGGCUGCUAACUGAAAAGGUUGGAGGUUCAAGUCCACUCAGAGGCACCUCAGAAGAAGGCCUGGUGAUCUACUUCCCAAAAAAGUCAGCCAUUAAAAACCGUAUGGAACACAGCUCUACUCUGACACACAUGGAGUCACCACGCACGAGUUGGAGUCAACUCCGAGACAACUGGUACGGGUAUAUUCACACAUGGGAACGUUACACAGAAAGGAAAAUGAUCAUCAAUCACAUGCAACAGUAUGGAUGCAUCUCAAACACAUAACAUGGAGUGAAAAAAAACAGGCACAGAAGAGUGUAUAGGUAUGAAUCUAUUUUCAUAAAGUACAAAACCAGAUACAGAUACUGUAUGUUGUUAGAAGUCCAGAUAGUGGUCACCCUUGGGGGUGUAGUGACUAGAAGGGGACCUGAAGGACCUUCUGGGGGGCUGGAGAUGUUCUUUCUUUCUCUGGGUGCUGGUUAUGCAAGCGUGUUCAGUUUGUGAAAAUUCAUGUAGCUGCGUAUUUGUGAUAUGUGCACUUCUCCGCACGCAUGUUAUACUAGGACAAGUUUUUUUUAACGACACCUCCCACCCUCUGCUGCAGUGGUUAAAGAGCUUGGCUGAUAAUCAAAAGGUCAGCAGCUUGAAUCCACCAGCCCGUGCUUGGAAACCCUAUGGGGCAGUUCUACUCUGUCCUGUAGGGUCACUAUUGGUCGGGUGGUCCCCCCGCCAUCCUCCUCGGCCCCCGUGCUUCAGUCAUACCCAGCUCAUUGCAGUCUCCUCUGCACAUGGUGUUCCCUCUGCCUGAAGCAUUGUCCUUCUCCAACCCUGCCCUUGGCCGUAAUUAGGCUGCUCUCUAUAUGCCAUCCCAGCAGCCUAUAGGGGCCCUGACAGCAGCACUUUUCCCUCUAUUGUGAUUACCUGUGUGUGUCUACACCUGGGCCAUGUGAGUUUCUUAAGGGCAAGGACUGUCUCCAGCUACUGUUAUAUCCCCAGGGUCUACACAGUAGGGGCCCAGCACAUAUUUUGUUCAGUGAAUGGAAGGCCUCAAGCAAUCUUCUGCUAUAGUGAGAGAGAGGAAAAUAAAGGGAAAAGGAAUGGGGUAAAGCUAACUCUGCUAUCAGCAAGCCAGGCCCAGAAUCUUUGUCCUAUAAUUUGUGGGUGCUGGUACAGGGACAGAUGAAAGCAAACACAAUCUCAAGGGAAACUUGUCAUUCUGGUUCAUAAAGAUAUGUCAAGUAUUCUUUUAUCAUCUGUCUCCCCACUAGAAUGUAAGCCCAAUGGGGAGACAGAAACCGUGUUUGUCUAUGUCUCCAGGGCCCAGAUGGUGCCUGGCAUUAAAUUAUGGCCUCAGUAAAUACUCGCUGAGUGGAUAAAUGAACAAGUUGUCAAAGAGGAAGGAACCGUAAAAAUCUGGUUAGGCUACACAAAAGUAAUACUAAAUACAAUCAUUUACAUCCAACGCCUUCCACUUAUGGCCAAUCAGCACGCUGCACAGUAAUUAUACAGACCUCUAAUUAGCUGUCAGAUUAGCCUGUGUAAGUCUUAUCUGAUGACAGAAGUACACUCGGUUUACACAGGCCUGACGUUCGUUGCUCAUGACUCUGAACCUGGCUGGAUGUGGAGACCAUAUUUAACGGCAACCAUGGCUGAGCAUCGAGAGUCCUGGGCUGCUCUGGGGCCUCAGCUGUGUUACCCUGGGCACGAUGAUCACCUCCUUUCAAACUUCACAAGAGUAACAGAACCACCACUUGACAUGUUUGUAAGGCUCAACAGUUUACAAAAUUCUCUCCACAGUCUUUACCUCAUUGAAGCCACAGAACAAAAAACAAGCUCUUGUACAGAUGAAGAGCUGAACCCAAGAAAGGUGAAGAGGCUCACUCAUGGUCACACAGGGCUGGGGCCAGCUGGUUCUCUGGCUCCACUGGCAUUUCUGCUCUAUCUUAACUAUUUGCAUAGGAGAGCAGAAAGAUGAAGCUGUUGGAUUCUUUAUUAACACACACACGCACACACACACGAAGAAUUCGAAGGUCUUAUUUUCAGUUUAACGUUCAGACGAAUCUGGUCUUAGAACCUCCACCCAUACCCAUACCCCCUAAGUGCUGUGGUUUCUAAGUCAGCAUCUCAAGCCCAAGUCAGCGGCACUUACUACACAGGUAGUUCCUGAAAUCUCCACCUGGGUGGCCACGGCACCUCAGACAUACCUUGUCCUCAGGAGAACACAUACCUCCACCACUCACCACCAUCUGCUUCACCUCCUACGCCCUCCAUCUUAGCAGGUAGCACCACAAUUCACCAGGCACCCAAGCCAGAAAGCUGAGAGUCACCCUACAGUUCUCCUUCCCCACUCCUCUACAUCCAGUCAGUCACCAGGUCCUGACCAUUCUGCCUCCUGAACACCAUGACCUUUGCCCUAUGACAUGACACUCCCCAGUCCAGGCAUUUGUCAGCAAUAACCUGGACUCUGCAGCAGCACCCUUGCUGGGAAUCCCUUCCUCUGGUCUCUCCCUCUCCAGUCAGUUCUUCUUACUGAACUACAGACUGGAUGAUGACAUGACACACCCUGGCUCCAAAGGCUUCAGUAGCUCUCCACUGCAUAGAUGAUCCAGGGCGAAGUCCUCACCACAAUGUAUAAGCCCCUCCAUAUCUGCCCCUGCUCACCUGUCCCACCCACCCAUCCACUGCACCCGACGCUCCAGCAGAGCUGAAGGCCGCCUUCCGCACACACACACGCUGCCUCCCUUCUCUGUACCAGCCCUAUGCGUGUGCUCCUGCUUCUUGGAAGGUAGCCCCAUCCCUGAGAAUCUGGGAUGAGCUCAGCUCACUAUCUCUCCUCUGGGGCUUUCUUUGGCGCCUUCCCUACAUGCUCCUACACACCUUGAACACUCUCCCGCUAGGGCACAUAUCAAGGUUACAACUAUAACCCUACCUGUCUCUUCAUAAACCUGUGAGCUCUGAUGGCAGGGACUGUCCUAAGCUCCUAGCACACUAUCUGGUACAUAGGAGGGCUCUAUUAAAAUUGAAUAAUGAAUAAAUGAGUGGGUGGUAUCAAAAGGGCAUUUUUUUAGUUUACGCCAAUAUGAAAUAAAUUCCCAGUUUGGACUGUAUAUUUUGUAUACUCAUUGUGGUUAAAACAAGCAACCUAAAUAGACAUAAUACUAUAGAUCACAGCAAUAUAUGCCAGAAAGGGGAAGGGGGAGCAAACAUUUCCUAUCCUUUUCUUCUGUGCUUGAGGCUUCAUAUAACACCCACGAAAAUUAUGAGGGGCUAGUAACAGUUAAGCACAGGGGUUUAAGCCCUGCACUGCCACUUAACAGUUGUAUACCUUGGGCAAGUUAUCUGAUUUCUCUAAGCCUUGUGUUUUUCAUUUAUAAUAUGGGGAUAAUAAAAAGUACCCUCAAAGAGCUGUUAUGAGGACUAAAUGACAGGAUGUUUAUACAAUGCUGCUCAUCAUGAACACUCGGUAAAUACUAACAAUUUAUUCAUUAUUAUUAUAAUAACCACAUAAAAUAGUGUUUCAUCCCAUUUCGCAAACGUGGAAGCUGAGGCAUACUAACUUAUCCGAGGUCAUGUAACAAAAACGGUAGUGCCAGGGUUCAAGUUCAAGAGUAUCUAAUCAUACGUGCUCACAAAUCCCACGCUCCUUCUUAUACUAGAGUUAAUAAUGGAUGGUCUGGCAGCAUUUAAGUCCAAAGGGGGUAUGCAAAUAUGACUUCUGAUUCCUGAGGGUCUGUGACAGUCCCCACCUGAACAGAGCUGGGCCCCAAUCCUGUACUUUUGGUAACUCUGAAAGUAGAGAGCUCCAACACAAAACUUUUCCACGUGAUUAAGGACACUGUUCUAGACGCCCUGGGGGUAUCCAUGCCCAUCAUAACAAGUGCAGAGUUAGGGGCUUGACUGAAACCAGGUUGAAUCUGGCUCUGGGCUUUAUAAAACCAAGCAAAAAACAAACAACAGUUGCCACUGAGUUGGUGCCGACUCCUGGCGGCCCCAUGUGUAUCAGAGUAGAACUGCUCCAUAGGGUUUUCAUGGCUGUGACCUUUCAGAAAGUAGAUUGCCAGGCCUUUCUUCUGAGGCACCUCUGGGUAGGAUUCUGAGGCACCACCAACCUUUCGGUUAAUAGCCAAGCGCAAACCGUUGCUGCCACCCAGAGACUCUUCUGGGCCUUAUAAGUGAAUCCUCUCCAACAGUGACACCCCUCUGACCCCGUAUCCUCACGGAUAACAUGGAAAAAGCAAUGCCUACCUCACAAAGUGAUGAGCAUCAGGAGAGCAGGGAACACGUCGGACUUCUCCACCUGUGUCCCCAGUGCCUAGCACAGGCUGGCACAUAGUAGGCACUCAAAAAAUAUCUGUUGAAAUAAUGAAAGCAUCCCAUCAGAUGAUGUUUGUGGAAAAUGCUGUCAGCUGCCGUUACAUUUAGAGUCCUUGCCCACGAGGAAUUUACAAUCCAGGUAUAAUUUCUCCAUCCAUAUGAGCUCUCCUCCUUGUCUGCAGCUCGCAGGUGACAUUUAAUCACACACCACCCUGUGACAGCUUGAAAGACAUGCUGUGCAGCACUGGCCUGGGACCGAGGCUCCCAAGGUCUCAUCUCAGCUUUACCAUUUACCUGCCCUGGAUGUUUCCUCCACCAAAAACCUGACACCUUCACCUUUUCCAGAAGGAGAACCUAAUUUUCACUUUCUCAAAAUCUCAAGACUCAGCGUCCUCAAACUAGAUGGUUCUCAAAUGUCUCCUUCAGAUCUAAAAGUCUCUGAACUCCCUCUUCUGGGCUUGGAUUUCAAAUGCAAGCUCCACGAGGGUAGGGACCUUAUCCCUUCACUCA